GAUGAACGCUGGCGGCGUGCCUAAUACAUGCAAGUCGAGCGAACGGACGAGAAGCUUGCUUCUCUGAUGUUAGCGGCGGACGGGUGAGUAACACGUGGAUAACCUACCUAUAAGACUGGGAUAACUUCGGGAAACCGGAGCUAAUACCGGAUAAUAUUUUGAACCGCAUGGUUCAAAAGUGAAAGACGGUCUUGCUGUCACUUAUAGAUGGAUCCGCGCUGCAUUAGCUAGUUGGUAAGGUAACGGCUUACCAAGGCAACGAUGCAUAGCCGACCUGAGAGGGUGAACCGCCACACUGGAACUGAGAGACGGUCCAGACUCCUACGGGAGGCAGCAGUAGGGAAUCGUCCGCGAUGGGCGAAAGCCUGACGGAGCAACGCCGCGUGAGUGAUGAAGGUCUUCGGAUCGUAAAACUCUGUUAGUAGGGAAGAACAUAUGUGUAAGUAACUAUGCACAUCUUGACGGUACCUAAUCAGAAAGCCACGGCUAACUACGUG
rnacentral:rRNA from 1 species